GAUGAACGCUGGCGGCGUGCUUAACACAUGCAAGUCGAACGGAAAGGCCCAAGCUUGCUUGGGUACUCGAGUGGCGAACGGGUGAGUAACACGUGGGUGAUCUGCCCUGCACUUCGGGAAAAGCCUGGGAAACUGGGUCUAAUACCGGAUAGGACGAUGGUUUGGAUGCCAUUGUGGAAAGUUUUUUCGGUGUGGGAUGAGCUCGCGGCCUAUCAGCUUGUUGGUGGGGUAAUGGCCUACCAAGGCGUCGACGGGUAGCCGGCCGGAGAGGGUGUACGGCCACAUUGGGACUGAGAUACGGCCCAGACUCCGACGUGAGGCAGCAGUGGGGAAUAUUGCACAAUGGGCGCAAGCCUGAUGCAGCGACGCCGCGUGGGGGAUGACGGCCUUCGGGUUGUAAACUCCUUUCGCUAGGGACGAAGCGUUUUUGUGACGGUACCUGGAGAAGAAGCACCGGCUAACUACGUG
rnacentral:rRNA from 1 species